UGGCAUGGAAACUCUCCCUCUCUGCUGACUGAAUCAAGGAGGAAUACCUGGAAUGGAGCUUCAUGAUAUACCUCCUUGACUUUUUCUGAUCUGUAUCCAGAUUUUGCCCGGCAAACGGCAACAGCUCCAAAAACCUAUCUGUGAACUCAUCCACACUCAUCUCAUCCGUCUGCCUCAGCUGCUCGAACUCAAUCAUCUUCA
rnacentral:lncRNA from 1 species